AAAUUGAAGAGUUUGAUCAUGGCUCAGAUUGAACGCUGGCGGCAGGCCUAACACAUGCAAGUCGAACGGUAACAGGAAGCAGCUUGCUGCUUUGCUGACGAGUGGCGGACGGGUGAGUAAUGUCUGGGAAACUGCCUGAUGGAGGGGGAUAACUACUGGAAACGGUGGCUAAUACCGCAUAACGUCGCAAGACCAAAGAGGGGGACCUUCGGGCCUCUUGCCAUCAGAUGUGCCCAGAUGGGAUUAGCUAGUUGGUGAGGUAACGGCUCACCAAGGCGACGAUCCCUAGCUGGUCUGAGAGGAUGACCAGCCACACUGGAACUGAGACACGGUCCAGACUCCUACGGGAGGCAGCAGUGGGGAAUAUUGCACAAUGGGCGCAAGCCUGAUGCAGCCAUGCCGCGUGUAUGAAGAAGGCCUUCGGGUUGUAAAGUACUUUCAGCGGGGAGGAAGGUGUUGUGGUUAAUAACCGCAGCAAUUGACGUUACCCGCAGAAGAAG
rnacentral:rRNA from 1 species